rnacentral:rRNA from 1 species
CAAGGCUUGACAUAUACGAGAACGGGCCAGAAAUGGUCAACUCUUUGGACACUCGUAUACAGGUGGUGCAUGGUUGUCGUCAGCUCGUGUCGUGAGAUGUUGGGUUAAGUCCCGCAACGAGCGCAACCCUCGUUCUAUGUUGCCAGCACGUAAUGGUGGGAACUCAUGGGAUACUGCCGGGGUCAACUCGGAGGAAGGUGGGGAUGACGUCAAAUCAUCAUGCCCCUUAUGUCUUGGGCUUCACGCAUGCUACAAUGGCCGGUACAAAGGGCUGCAAUACCGUGAGGUGGAGCGAAUCCCAAAAAGCCGGUCCCAGUUCGGAUUGAGGUCUGCAACUCGACCUCAUGAAGUCGGAGUCGCUAGUAAUCGCAGAUCAGCAACGCUGCGGUGAAUACGUUCCC